GGGCCUAGUUGGGGCUGGUAGAGAGAGGCGUGGAGCGGGCGCCAUCAGUGGCUAAGAACCUCGACGGGGUUGGUCCUGCAACGGCUUGCUCAGGCUGUGGGUGGUCGCUGCAGCCGCUGGGAGAGAAGGAGGAAUCAACGACUCCGGAGGCGAAUGUGGCCAAAGCAGGGAGGAAGGGAAGGAAUGUGUGAGGAGGGCUGUGAGUGUGUUUGGGAACGGAGAGAAUUUCCUCCAAACUUGUUCCUUAUAUACUGCUAGUUGGCUGUAGUUGUUUUGUUUGGUCACAGAUUCUGGAGACACCCGACGUCUCCCUUCUGGAAUUCCUCUCGGCCCUUUUUAGUUGAUGAUAGCCUAAAGUGAGUGACAGCUUUUUAGUGGAACAAUUGAGUUGUGAUGGGGGCAGGAUGGUGAACCCUCCAGAGAACAAAAAAUGGGAGAGGUGGGUGGGGUGGGGGUGGGAUGGAGCAAGAUGAUGUUCAUAGUAAGAAGAUGGUAUGAUGAUGGUGAUAAUAAUAGUUAACAUUUGCAGAUUUUUACUGUACUACUCACUGUUCUAAAACCGUUUCUGUGUGAUAACUCAUUUAAUCUCCAGUCCUACGAAAUCGGUACUCUUGCCUCAUUUUAUAGAUGGGGAAACUGAGGCUAAGAGGGUUAAGGAAAAUGCCCAAAGAAAGACAAAUGAAAAGUGCGGGACCAUCAUUUUAAUUCAGAUAGGCUGACCCCAGAACAUAUCUCUUAAGCUCUACACUAUUGUUAUCCCCCAGCAAGAUGUGAAAAAAGUGAGAACAUGGGGCAAGGAAUAACAGGCUGGUAUGGCUUGAAAAGAUGUGGUGAUAAGCAGCUGAAGCAAGGUGUUGAUAAAAGUAUGAGAGAACCAGGUGUGUCUGUAAGGUGAUGACAGGUGUAAGGGAGAAUAAGCUUGAAACUCAUGGCUUUCUAAACUUAACUGGGGUCUUCUCUAUAGAAGUCUGUGGGAGGGAGGAAAGGUAUACCCACAACCUAAGUUGGAAAAGGGAGUUAGAGAAAGAUCAAAGACCAACAGAAUUUAAAGAUUAUUUGAUGUAACCACCUAGUUUAACAAAUGAAGCUUAAGGAGAUAAAGUGAUUUAUUCAAGGUACCCAUGAGUGGAAACAUUUGUUUUCUGUUUUAGGUCCAGUUCUCUACUGUUCGGGGAGUUUCUCCCUCUUUUUCCUUGCCCUAGUGAAUAUUAAAGUUUAGAUACUUUGAUAAUAUCAUCUGACCUGGACUGGCUCCUAUCAGCCAUAUGAAUUAGGUUCUAAGCAGCUGACUUGAUACUCUGUUCCAAAUGCAUGGUCAUGGAGGCUAUGACUCUGAUUUUAGUGAUGAUGAACACUGUGGAGAAUCUAGCAAAAGGAAAAAAAGGACAGUUGAAGAUGAUUUACUGCUCCAAAAGCCAUUUCAGAAAGAAAAAUAUGGAAAGGUGGCCCAUAAACAAGUUGCAGCUGAAUUGCUGGAUAGGGAAGAAGCAAGAAAUAGAAGGUUUCAUAUCAUAUCUAUGGAUGCUUAUCAAAGGCACAAAAAGUUUGUAAAUGAUUAUAUUUUAUAUUAUGGUGGCAAAAAAGAAGACUUCAGGCGUUUGGGGGAAAAUGACAAAACAGACUUGGAUGUUAUACGAGAAAAUCAUAGAUUCCUAUGGAAUGAGGAGGAUGAAAUGGACAUGACUUGGGAGAAGAGGCUUGCAAAGAAAUACUAUGAUAAAUUAUUCAAGGAAUAUUGCAUAGCAGAUCUCAGUAGAUACAAAGAAAAUAAGUUUGGAUUUAGGUGGCGAGUGGACAAAGAAGUGAUUUCAGGAAAAGGUCAAUUUUUCUGUGGAAAUAAGUGUUGUGAUAUGAAAGAAGGCUUAAAGAGUUGGGAAGUUAAUUUUGGUUAUUUUGAGCAUGGUGAAAAGAGAAAUGCACUUGUGAAAUUAAGGUUAUGCCCAGAGUGUUCCUUUAAAUUAAAUUUUCAUCACAGGAGAAAAGAAGUCAAGUCAAAAAAGAGAAAGGAUAAAACCAAAAAAGAUUGUGAAGAGUCAUCAUAUAAAAAAUCCAGAUUAUCUUCUGCAGAAGAAAUCUCCAAGAAGGAUAAAGGACAUUCAUCAUCAAAGAAGUCGGAAGAUUCUGUAAAUAGAUUAAAGGAGAUGAUAUACAUGUAAAGCAUGUGCCUGACACCAAAUAAGUCCUGGGAGGAAUGUUGGAGAAACUGUUGAUGUUUCGCUUGGAGAAGCAUGAAGGGAUGGGAGGAAAAAGGAAACUCUGAUGAGGAAGAAAGUACUUCAGAAUCUGAACUUUGGAAGGGCCCACUACCAGAGACAGAUGAGAAAUCACAGGAAGAAGAAUUUGAUGAGUAUUUUCAAGAUUUGUUUCUGUGAGACUUGAGAGAGACGCUACAUUCCUUAAUGUGAAAGUACACUUUGAAGAACUCUUUUUAAAAGUUUUAUCUACAAGGUACAAAUUGAGCAGUUUGUCUCUGGAAAGAAGCCAUCAGAUGCUUUGGAAGUUCAUUAGUUCUGUUAGAGACAACUUACUGUACAGCAUUGACCAAUACAAUCCAUGAAGCCACUCCAGAACACUAAGUCACUUGAGAAGCAGUUACAUAAUUUUCAGAGUACUGUAUUGCCUAUUCAGAAUUUGUCCAUUUUAAAAAUAAUUGGACUAACUUAUCCUAAUUUCUCAAGAGAACCACUGAACUGUGCAAUCUGGGAUGUUUUCACAGUUUAAGUCUUUUUCAUCUGUGUACUGAAAAAUGAAUAACGAAUUAUGGAGUUAGUUCACAUCUACAAUUAAAAAAUUGGUGGACAUCGUGUUGAACUAUAUUUUUAUUCAAGAAUUAGUUAUAAUUUUUCAAAAAUCAUUUUAAAAAUGAAGCAAAUUUUACACAUUGAAAGAACUACACGAUUAAUAUUUUAAAAAGAAAUGAUUCCUCAGAUAUUUUUUGUUGUAUUUUCCUGGCUUCAUUAUAAAGUUGAUCUUUUCAAUUAUAUUUAAAACAACACACUGAUAAUAGAUUUAAGCUUACCUUUGAAAGCUGUGGAAGACCAUGAUGAUAGGCUAUUAUUUUUGAAUACUUUCUACCUAUAUGUUACAAAAUCAUUUUGGCUGUAUAAUUAUUAUUGGUAUGUAAAGUUUUGAGUCUAGCCUCAGGUUAGAAUAGAAUUACAAAUCCAAGACCAAGUAUGGCACUAAGUCAUUCUAGGAUAUUGAAAUACUAGAAAAUAAGAAUUGGACAAAAAUUCAAGUUUUAGACACUAUACUGUGUAUCAUAUAAACCAUCACAUAAGUCACUUCUUAUAACAACUUCCAGAACAAGGAAAAUGGUAUCUUACAAAGCAGAUAUAAGUAAUAAAAAGGCAACCUGUGAUUUUUUUUUGUUAAAAUAAUGAGUUAAUAACAGCAACUAUAGUUAGCCUUUUAAAAUUGAUAGAAUGAAGCAAUGGCUAUUGAACACUCCAAAGUACAAUAAACAAAAGGAAAGCUUUCUGGAUCAAAAUCAGUUUCUUAGUUGGAACAGUUCACAGCAGCCCACUGGGCAUAUCAAUCCAUUAUUUCUAAAUUAAAUCUUCUAGAUGCAGGUUAUUUUCAAUCUGGUCUGCAUUGGCCAGGGUAGGGGAGAGGUAAAUGGGGCAUUUGUACUUUUAAUACCACAUAAUCUGCCCGAGUUUGGUAUGAUAAUGGCCUUCCCUUUGAACUGAUGGUGACCUAGUGGCACAUUUACAACAUUUAAUCAUCAUUGCCUUUAUUUGUUCUCUGAUGUACAUUGUUAUAUUCAAAAAGUAAUGUAUUAUAUGCUUCAGGCACAUACUAUGCAGAUCCAGUAACACUUAAAAUCAAACUAAAUUGCUGUACUAGGAAAAAAAGCUGGGGAGAGGGAUGCGUGGAAAUGUCUCAAACUUUUAGACAAAUUAGUAUUUGUGGCACAUGAAGUCUUUUUAAGAAGCAAACUGCCUACUGAAUUUAAAUAAAUAGUGCCCUGGUACAGACUUCCUUGGCUCUACCAUGUGUCAGAUUGUACAGUGUAUAUGAUAUACAAUCAUCAACCAAAUAAAUAAAUAUUUAUUAUGCAGCAGUUAUUUUAAUGCAUGUGGCUUAUAUCUGUAAGCCUGGGUACCUGUCACUGUUCGAUAAAAAUGCAUGUGUGUAAGUAAAAGCUAUAUAUAAAGAGAGCUACAGAAAUAAAUAUGACUAAUACUG